GGCCAGCAGCAGCAGCUCCAUUUCAAUCCGUAGCCCGGGACUUCCAUAUGAGCAAGUGCAGCCAUUUAAAAAAACCAGAAAUCAACAAGGACACAAUUCAAGGCCCCAUAUAUCCAGAAACAUUAACUGGAUGCGGAAGGACAUCUGAUCUUUGCAGGGGUGUUUUGAAGAGAAGAUUAAGGAUGAAAAAUGACUGAUGUACUGAUAAUCUAUGGUCAAGCUUGGGUUUGGGACAUUAUUUGCCUGGCUUUGAACUAGAAUCUUCAAAGUUUUUGGAAGAAGAGUCUGCUAGACACACCUGUAUUCUGCUUUGGUGACUCAGGACUGCAGUGUCUCCAGGAUUUUCAUAUAUUAGAAACAUUUGAGGAUUAUGUCAGCUGAGACUCCUGCUGCCUGUCUGGUAGAGAGAACACCUUAUAACAACAAACACA